GGGGGUAUAACUCAGUUGGUAGAGUGUACGUUUUGCAUACGUAAAGUCAAGAGUUCGAGCCUCUUUAUCUCCA
rnacentral:tRNA from 1 species